rnacentral:rRNA from 1 species
UACGAAGGGGGCUAGCGUUGCUCGGAAUCACUGGGCGUAAAGGGUGCGUAGGCGGGUUUUUAAGUCAGGGGUGAAAUCCUGGAGCUCAACUCCAGAACUGCCUUUGAUACUGAAGAUCUUGAGUCCGGGAGAGGUGAGUGGAACUGCGAGUGUAGAGGUGAAAUUCGUAGAUAUUCGCAAGAACACCAGUGGCGAAGGCGGCUCACUGGCCCGGUACUGACGCUGAGGCACGGAAAGCGUGGGGAGCAAACAGG